UUGUGCCUACGGGACGCAGCAGUGAGGAAUAUUGGUCAAUGGGCGAGAGCCUGAGCCAGCCAAGUCGCGUGAGGGAAGACGGUCCUAUGGAUUGUAAACCUCUUUUGCCGGGGAGCAAAAAGCGGUACGUGUACCGCAUCGAGAGUACCCGGAGAAAAAGCAUCGGCUAACUCCGUGCCAGCAGCCGCGGUAAUACGGAGGAUGCGAGCGUUAUCCGGAUUUAUUGGGUUUAAAGGGUGCGCAGGCGGCGAGUUAAGUCAGCGGUAAAAUCUCGGGGCUCAACCCCGACGAGCCGUUGAGACUGG
rnacentral:rRNA from 1 species